rnacentral:rRNA from 1 species
UCAGUCGAGGGUGAAAACUGCAGGCUUAACUUGCAGCGUGCCCCCGAUACUACCAUUCUUGAGUGUAGGAGGGGAUGACGGAAUUCCCGGUGUAGCGGUGGAAUGCGCAGAUAUCGGGAGGAACACCGGUGGCGAAGGCGGUCAUCUGGCCUUACACUGACGCUGAGGCGCGAAAGCGUGGGUAGCAAACAGGAUUAGAUACCCUGUUAGUCCACGCCGUAAACGAUGGGUACUAGAUGUCAGAGGAAUCGACCCCUCUGGUGUCGUAGCUAACGCGUUAAGUACCCCGCCUGGGGAGUACGUUCGCAAGGAUGAAACUCAAAGGAAUUGACGGGGCCCCGCACAAGCGGUGGAGCAUGUGGUUUAAUUCGAUGCAACGCGAAGAACCUUACCUGGCCUGGAAUUGCAGCUGCAAAAUCGGUGAAAGCCGACUUCCUUCGAGGGUGCUGCAGAGGUGUUGCAUGGCUGUCGUCAGCUCGUGUCGUGAGAUGUUGGGUUAAGUCCCGCAACGAGCGCAACCCUUAUCGUUAGUUGCCAUCAGACCCUUGUGGUGCUGGGAACUCUAACGAGACUGCCCGGGUUAACCGGGAGUAAGGUGGGGAUGACGUCAAGUCCUCAUGGCCCUUACGGCCAGGGCUACACACGUGCUACAAUGGGCGGUACAAAGGGUCGCGAAACCGCGAGGUGGAGCCAAUCCCAAAAACCCGUCCUCAGUUCGGAUUGUAGUCUGCAACUCGACUACAUGAAGUCGGAAUCGCUAGUAAUCGCUGAUCAGCAGGCAGCGGUGAAUACGUUCCCGGGGCUUGUAC